AAGUUUAAAGUAUUUAUUUUUAUGAUUAUAAGUCAUGCAAUCAAGAAGCUUCAAGAUGUAACCCCCUCUCUUAGCUCACAAGCAGGCAAAAGUGGUAUGUAUUUUCUGUUUAUGUAUGAGUUUAAAGUCAUACGUUUUCCAUGUAACUGACUGUAUACAUGUUUUUGUUGUAUAUUCAUCCUUUUAGUUCUACGGUGUUGAUUUUGAUGUCUGAGUCCAGAGAGCAUUAAACAUCAGUUAAAA